rnacentral:lncRNA from 1 species
AAUUGAUAAUGACAGCUGGAACACUGUAUGGGGAUGGCUUUGAAGCCAUAUUCUCGCUCACAAGGAAAGGAUGAUGUGAUGGUAAAGAUGGGAUCAAAGGACCAUGAACCAGGAAAGGGCAUGUGAGGACAUAGCAAGAAGAUGGUCAUCAACAAGCCUGGAAGAGAGACUCCACCUGAUACUGAAUCCAUUGAAAGAUUGAUUCUGAACUUCUAGCCUCCAAAACUGUUUUAUACACGAAUUCUGCAUUUUGCCAGAAGUUGAAGAUCUUUCUAAUACUCUGUACUCAAGAGGAAGGCAGAGCUUUCUAUGUGGAGUGACUGAAACAAUUUCGUCCAAAUGUUUGUUGCCACGGGCAAAAUAUCUAAAGAUUGUUCACUUGAAAAUUAUGACUCUUUUUCAGAAUUUUACAUCGUGUUAUUUGUUUUAUGGACUAUUCAGUAUGCAUUGCACCAACACUAAUUACUGCACUAAUAAGUCAGCGUGCUACCAAGAUGUUUUGCCAUUAUAAUUACAGCCACAUGUUGUUGUCCUUCCUCAAAUAGUCCAGGCUUAAUUGCAUCAUUUUUCAGGAGAAUUUAUGUGGUACAGCUUAAUUCAAAAUUACUACAUGAAUAAAUGAAGUGUAAACUAUUUUUUGUACUGACUCACAUACAGAAUAAAUGUUCUAG